GACGAACGCUGGCGGCGUGCCUAAUACAUGCAAGUAGAACGCUGAAGGAGGAGCUUGCUCUUCUGGAUGAGUUGCGAACGGGUGAGUAACGCGUAGGUAACCUGCCUGGUAGCGGGGGAUAACUAUUGGAAACGAUAGCUAAUACCGCAUAAUAGUAGAUGUUGCAUGAUAUUUACUUAAAAGGUGCAAUUGCACCACUACCAGAUGGACCUGCGUUGUAUUAGCUAGUUGGUGGGGUAACGGCUCACCAAGGCGACGAUACAUAGCCGACCUGAGAGGGUGAUCGGCCACACUGGGACUGAGACACGGCCCAGACUCCUACGGGAGGCAGCAGUAGGGAAUCUUCGGCAAUAGACGAAAGUCUGACCGAGCAACGCCGCGUGAGUGAAGAAGGUUUUCGGAUCGGAAAGCUCUGUUGUAAGAGAAGAACGAGUGUGAGAGUGGAAAGUUCACACUGUGACGGUAUCUUACCAGAAAGGGACGGCUAACUACGUG
rnacentral:rRNA from 1 species